CACAAGCGGUGGAUGAUGUGGUUAAUUCGAUGCAACGCGAAAACCUUACCACCUUUGACAUGUGCGGAACCUUAGAGAUAGAGGGGUGCUCGAAAGAGAGCCGUAACACAGGUGCUGCAUGGCUGUCGUCAGCUCGUGUCGUGAGAUGUUGGGUUAAGUCCCGCAACGAGCGCAACCCUUGUCAUUAGUUGCUACAUUCAGUUGGGCACUCUAAUGAGACUGCCGGUGACAAGCCGGAGGAAGGUGGGGAUGACGUCAAGUCCUCAUGGCCCUUAUAGGUGGGGCUACACACGUCAUACAAUGGCUGGUACAAAGGGUUGCCAACCCGCGAGGGGGAGCCAAUCCCAUAAAACCGAUCGUAGUCCGGAUCGCAGUCUGCAACUCGACUGCGUGAAGUCGGAAUCGCUAGUAAUCGUGAAUCAGAAUGUCCACGGUCCGAAUACGUUCCGGGCCUU
rnacentral:rRNA from 1 species